AGGGAGUUGACAGACAUAAUCCUUAAGAUAGGAAGGAGGAUUAUGCUGUCUAGUGGACUUUCUAGGAGUAGGAAGAGGAUGUGAAGGAGGUAGAACAGGAGGAGAGAUAUCAUGAUUGAAAGAAGGAAGGGAAGAUGGAGCAGCAUCAGUAAAAUCAGGAACAGGAGAAUCAGAUGUAAAAUUAGGAACAGGAGAAUCAUGAGAAGCAUGUAUAGGAAAAUCUGUGUCAGGGAAAUGUUCAGCAGAAGGAAUAGAAGGAAAAGAUGAAGGAGAAGGGUGAGCAGAAGAAGGUUUAUUCUUAAAAGGAAA
rnacentral:lncRNA from 1 species